rnacentral:rRNA from 1 species
CCCUUAGAUGUUCUGGGCCGCACGCGCGCUACACUGAUGCAUUCAACGAGUCUAAAACCUGCUCUGAUAGGGGUGGGUAAUCUUUUGAAUGUGCAUCGUGAUGGGGAUAGAUGAUUGCAAUUUUUCAUCUUCAACGAGGAAUGCCUAGUAAACGCAAGUCAUCAGCUUGCAUUGAUUACGUCCCUGCCCUUUGUACACACCGCCCGUCGCUCCUACCGAUUGAAUGAUCCGAUGAAUAUCAUGGAUUGAGGAUGUAAGCAGGUUCGCCUGUCUUCAUCUUCGAGAAGUGAAGUAAAUCUUAUCAUUUAGAGGAAGGAGAAGUCGUAACA